UACAGAGGGUGCGAGCGUUGUCCGGAAUCACUGGGCGUAAAGGGCGCGUAGGCGGCCUGAUAAGUAGGGGGUGAAAUCCUGUGGCUUAACUGCAGGGCUGCCUCCUAGACUGUUAGGCUCGAGCACGGUAGAGGCAGAUGGAAUUCCCGGUGUAGCGGUGGAAUGCGUAGAGAUCGGGAAGAACAUCGGUGGCGAAGGCGGUCUGCUGGGCCGUUGCUGACGCUGAGGCGCGACAGCGGUGGGGGAGCAAACAGGAUUAC
rnacentral:rRNA from 1 species